rnacentral:rRNA from 1 species
GAUCCUGGCUCAGGACGAACGCUGGCGGCGUGCCUAAUACAUGCAAGUCGAGCGGACCUCUUCGGAGGUCAGCGGCGGACGGGUGAGUAACACGUGGGCAACCUGCCUGUAAGACUGGGAUAACUCCGGGAAACCGGAGCUAAUACCGGAUAUUAUUUCAAACCGCAUGGUUUGAAAUUCAAAGACGGUUUCGGCUGUCACUUACAGAUGGGCCCGCGGCGCAUUAGCUAGUUGGUGAGGUAAUGGCUCACCAAGGCAACGAUGCGUAGCCGACCUGAGAGGGUGAUCGGCCACACUGGGACUGAGACACGGCCCAGACUCCUACGGGAGGCAGCAGUAGGGAAUCUUCCGCAAUGGACGAAAGUCUGACGGAGCAACGCCGCGUGAGUGAUGAAGGUUUUCGGAUCGUAAAACUCUGUUGUCAGGGAAGAACAAGUGCCGGAGUAACUGCCGGCACCUUGACGGUACCUGACCAGAAAGCCACGGCUAACUACGUGCCAGCAGCCGCGGUAAUACGUAGGUGGCAAGCGUUGUCCGGAAUUAUUGGGCGUAAAGCGCGCGCAGGCGGUUUCUUAAGUCUGAUGUGAAAGCCCCCGGCUCAACCGGGGAGGGUCAUUGGAAACUGGGAAACUUGAGUGCAGAAGAGGAGAGUGGAAUUCCACGUGUAGCGGUGAAAUGCGUAGAGAUGUGGAGGAACACCAGUGGCGAAGGCGACUCUCUGGUCUGUAACUGACGCUGAGGCGCGAAAGCGUGGGGAGCGAACAGGAUUAGAUACCCUGGUAGUCCACGCCGUAAACGAUGAGUGCUAAGUGUUAGAGGGUUUCCGCCCUUUAGUGCUGCAGCUAACGCAUUAAGCACUCCGCCUGGGGAGUACGGUCGCAAGACUGAAACUCAAAGGAAUUGACGGGGGCCCGCACAAGCGGUGGAGCAUGUGGUUUAAUUCGAAGCAACGCGAAGAACCUUACCAGGUCUUGACAUCCUUUGCCACUUCUAGAGAUAGAAGGUUCCCCUUCGGGGGACAAAGUGACAGGUGGUGCAUG